AACACGACUCUCGGCAACGGAUAUCUCGGCUCUCGCCACGAUGAAGAAUGUAGCGAAAUGCGAUACUUAGUGUGAAUUGCAGAAUCCCGUGAAUCAUCGAGUCUUUGAACGCAAGUUGCGCCCGAGGCCUCGGCCAAGGGCACGUCUGCUUGGGCGUCGCAC
rnacentral:rRNA from 4 species